CUAGCAUAUCCAUAAGCGGAGGAAAAGAAACCAACAGGGAUUGCCUCAGUAACGGCGAGUGAAGCGGCAAUAGCUCAAAUUUGAAAUCUGGCCCUUUCGGGGUCCGAGUUGUAAUUUGUAGAGAGUGUUUCGGGUGAGACCACGGUCUAAGUCCGUUGGAACACGGUGUCAUAGAGGGUGAGAAUCCCGUCUGUGACCGUGGAUCGAGCCCAUGUGAAGCCUCUUCGACGAGUCGAGUUGUUUGGGAAUGCAGCUCAAAAUGGGUGGUAAAUUUCAUCUAAAGCUAAAUACUGGCUGGAGACCGAUAGCGCACAAGUAGAGUGAUCGAAAGAUGAAAAGCACUUUGGAAAGAGAGUGAAACAGUACGUGAAAUUGUUGAAAGGGAAGCGCUUGCAACCAGACCUGCCCGUAGGCGAUCAGCCGCUGUUCUCAGUGGUGCACUCGCUCUGCGAUCAGGCCAGCAUCGGUUUCGGCGGUCGGAUAAAGGCCUUGGGAAUGUAGCUCCUUUUCGGGGGAGUCUUAUAGCCCUUGGUGCAAUGCGGCCAGCCGGGACCGAGGACCGCGCUUCGGCUAGGAUGCUGGCGUAAUGGUUGUAAGCGACCCGUCUUGAAACACGGACCAAGGAGUCUAACAUCUAUGCGAGUGUUUGGGUGUCAAACCCAUGCGCGGAAUGAAAGUGAACGGAGGUGAGAACCCUUAAGGGCGCAUCAUCGACCGAUCCAGAUGUCUUCGGAUGGAUUUGAGUAUGAGCAUAGCUGUUGGGACCCGAAAGAUGGUGAACUAUGCCUGAAUAGGGUGAAGCCAGAGGAAACUCUGGUGGAGGCUCGCAGCGGUUCUGACGUGCAAAUCGAUCGUCAAAUUUGGGUAUAGGGGCGAAAGACUAAUCGAAC
rnacentral:rRNA from 1 species